rnacentral:rRNA from 1 species
AUUGAACGCUGGCGGCAGGCCUAACACAUGCAAGUCGAACGGUAACAGGAAGAAGCUUGCUUCUUUGCUGACGAGUGGCGGACGGGUGAGUAAUGUCUGGGAAACUGCCUGAUGGAGGGGGAUAACUACUGGAAACGGUAGCUAAUACCGCAUAACGUCGCAAGACCAAAGAGGGGGACCUUCGGGCCUCUUGCCAUCGGAUGUGCCCAGAUGGGAUUAGCUAGUAGGUGGGGUAACGGCUCACCUAGGUGACGAUCCCUAGCUGGUCUGAGAGGAUGACCAGCCACACUGGAACUGAGACACGGUCCAGACUCCUACGGGAGGCAGCAGUGGGGAAUAUUGCACAAUGGGCGCAAGCCUGAUGCAGCCAUACCGCGUGUAUGAAGAAGGCCUUCGGGUUGUAAAGUACUUUCAGCGGGGAGGAAGGGAGUAAAGUUAAUACCUUUGCUCAUUGACGUUACCCGCAGAAGAAGCACCGGCUAACUCCGUG